rnacentral:rRNA from 1 species
AGCGAACGCUGGCGGCAGGCUUAACACAUGCAAGUCGAGCGGGCGUAGCAAUACGUCAGCGGCAGACGGGUGAGUAACGCGUGGGAACGUACCUUUUGGUUCGGAACAACACAGGGAAACUUGUGCUAAUACCGGAUAAGCCCUUACGGGGAAAGAUUUAUCGCCGAAAGAUCGGCCCGCGUCUGAUUAGCUAGUUGGUGAGGUAAUGGCUCACCAAGGCGACGAUCAGUAGCUGGUCUGAGAGGAUGAUCAGCCACAUUGGGACUGAGACACGGCCCAAACUCCUACGGGAGGCAGCAGUGGGGAAUAUUGGACAAUGGGCGCAAGCCUGAUCCAGCCAUGCCGCGUGAGUGAUGAAGGCCCUAGGGUUGUAAAGCUCUUUUGUGCGGGAAGAUAAUGACGGUACCGCAAGAAUAAGCCCCGGCUAACUUCGUGCCAGCAGCCGCGGUAAUACGAAGGGGGCUAGCGUUGCUCGGAAUCACUGGGCGUAAAGGGUGCGUAGGCGGGUCUUUAAGUCAGGGGUGAAAUCCUGGAGCUCAACUCCAGAACUGCCUUUGAUACUGAAGAUCUUGAGUUCGGGAGAGGUGAGUGGAACUGCGAGUGUAGAGGUGAAAUUCGUAGAUAUUCGCAAGAACACCAGUGGCGAAGGCGGCUCACUGGCCCGAUACUGACGCUGAGGCACGAAAGCGUGGGGAGCAAACAGG